AGAGUUUGAUCCUGGCUCAGAGCGAACGCUGGCGGCGUGCUUAACACAUGCAAGUCGAGUGCGCAGUCUGCUGUAGCAAUACAGCAGGCCGGCGCACGGCGCACGGGUGCGUAACACGUGGGCAACCUGCCCUGCAAUGGGGGAUAACCCGCCGAAAGGCGGGCUAAUACCGCAUGAUAUUCCGGUGGCUUCGGACGCCG
rnacentral:rRNA from 1 species